rnacentral:rRNA from 1 species
CAGUCGCCGCGGGAAUACGAAGGGUGCAAGCGUUACUCGGAAUUACUGGGCGUAAAGCGUGCGUAGGUGGUGGUUUAAGUCCGUUGUGAAAGCCCUGGGCUCAACCUGGGAAUUGCAGUGGAUACUGGGUCACUAGAGUGUGGUAGAGGAUAGUGGAAUUUCCGGUGUAGCAGUGAAAUGCGUAGAGAUCGGAAGGAACAUCUGUGGCGAAGGCGACUAUCUGGGCCAACACUGACACUGAGGCACGAAAGCGUGGGGAGCAAACAGGAUUAGAUACCCCGGUAGUCCCUGUCUCUUAUAC